rnacentral:rRNA from 1 species
CCUACGGGAGGCAGCAGUGGGGAAUAUUGGGCAAUGGGCGCAAGCCUGACCCAGCAACGCCGCGUGAGGGAAGAAGGCUUUCGGGUUGUAAAGUUCUUUUCUCAGGGAAGAAACAAGUGAUGGUACCUGAGGAAUAAGCCACGGCUAACUACGUGCCAGCAGCCGCGGUACUAAGUAGGUGGCAAGCGUGAUCCGGAAUUACUGGGUGUAAAGGGCGUGUAGGCGGGGACGCAAGUCAGAUGUGAAAACCAUGGGCUCAACCUGUGGCCUGCAUUUGAAACUGUGUAUCUUGAGUACUGGGGAGGCAGACGGAAUGCCUAGUGUAGCGGUGAAAUGCGUAGAUAUUAGGAGGAACACCAGUGGCGAAGGCGGUCUGCUGGACAGUAACUGACGCUGAGGCGCGAAAGCGUGGGGAGCAAACAGGAUUAGAUACCCCUGUAGUC